rnacentral:rRNA from 1 species
AACGAACGCUGGCGGCGUGGAUAAGACAUGCAAGUCGAACGGGACAGACCGAGUAGCAAUAUUUGGAAUGUUCAGUGGCGAACGGGUGCGUAACACGUGGAUAACAUUCCGGAAAGCGGGGAAUAGCCCAGGGAAACUUGGAUUAAUACCGCAUGUGGCCGCAAGGCUAAAGACGGGGACCGCAAGGCCUGUCACUUUCCGAGUGGUCCGCGGCCUAUCAGCUAGUUGGCGGGGUAAUGGCCCACCAAGGCUACGACGGGUAGCUGGGCUUAGAGGACGACCAGCCACACUGGAACUGAGACACGGUCCAGACACCUACGGGUGGCAGCAGUCGAGAAUCUUUCACAAUGGGGGCAACCCUGAUGGAGCGACGCCACGUGGAGGAUAAGGUCUUCGGAUUGUAAACUCCUGUCAUGCGAGAACAAGGUACUCAGGCUAAUAACCUGAUUGUUUGAUGGUACCGCAAGAGGAAGAGACGGCUAACUCUGUGCCAGCCGCCGCAGUAAAAC